CUGUCACUAGUCACCCCCUCCCUCUCACUGUCACUAGUCACACCGCCCUCUCUCUGUCACUAGAGUGAAGGGGUGACAGGUGACAGAGUGAGGGAAGGGGUGACUAGUGACAGAGUGAGGGGAUGACUGGUGACAAAGUGAGGGGAUGACUGGUGACAGAGUGAGGGAGGUGGUGACUAGUGACAAAGUGAGGGAGGUGGUGACUGUCACUAGUCACUAGUCACAACCUCCCUCACUCUGUCCCUAAUCACCCCCUUCCUCACUCUGUCACUAGUCACCCCUUCCCUCCCUAACUCUGUCACUAGUCACGACUUCCCUCCCUCACUCUGUCACUAGUCACCCCCUUCCUCACUCUG